UACGAAGGGGGCUAGCGUUGCUCGGAAUCACUGGGCGUAAAGGGUGCGUAGGCGGGUCUUUAAGUCAGGGGGUGAAAUCCUGGAGCUCAACUCCAGAACUGCCUUUGAUACUGAGGAUCUUGAGUUCGGGAGAGGUGAGUGGAACUGCGAGUGUAGAGGUGAAAUUCGUAGAUAUUCGCAAGAACACCAGUGGCGAAGGCGGCUCACUGGCCCGAUACUGACGCUGAGGCACGAAAGCUAGGGGAGCAAACGGG
rnacentral:rRNA from 1 species